UUUGAAAUCUGGCGCAAGCCCGAGUUGUAAUUUGUAGAGGAUGCUUCUGGGUAGCGACCGAUCUAAGUUCCUUGGAACAGGACGUCAUAGAGGGUGAGAAUCCCGUAUGUGACCGGCCCGCACCCUUUACGUAGCUCCUUCGACGAGUCGAGUUGUUUGGGAAUGCAGCUCUAAAUGGGAGGUAAAUUUCUUCUAAAGCUAAAUACCGGCCAGAGACCGAUAGCGCACAAGUAGAGUGAUCGAAAGAUGAAAAGUACUUUGGAAAGAGAGUUAAAAAGCACGUGAAAUUGUUGAAAGGGAAGCGCCUGCAACCAGACUUCGUGGCAGUGUUCCGCCGGUCUUCUGACCGGUUCAUUCUCUGUCGCGAGGCCAUCAUCGUCUGGGCCCGCCGGAUAAGACCUGAGGAAUGUGGCUCCCCCUCGGGGGAGUGUUAUAGCCUCUGGUGAUGCGGCGAGGCUCGGGCGAGGUCCGCGCUUCGGCAAGGAUGAUGGCGUAAUGGUUGUCGGCGGCCCGUCUUGAAACACGGACCAAGGAGUCUAACAUCUAUGCGAGUGUUCGGGUGUCAAACCCCUACGCGUAAUGAAAGUGAACGGAGGUGGGAACCGCAAGGUGCACCAUCGACCGAUCCUGAUGUCCUCGGAUGGAUUUGAGUAAGAGCAUAGCUGUUGGGACCCGAAAGAUGGUGAACUAUGCCUGAAUAGGGUGAAGCCAGAGGAAACUCUGGUGG
rnacentral:rRNA from 1 species